AUACUGGAUGAUUAGCUCAAGACUUGGAUGAACCUUACUAAGUAAUUCUAUGGGACUUUUUUAUAUAUGACUGAUAGGAUAUUCUGUAGUAGUGGUUAUUUAAGGAAUAUAGCCAGUACCCUAUAAUAUGGAGCGAUAAUUUCAAGAUUUCAUAUCACAGUAAGAAUAAAUAUAGUCCAGGUGGUCCGUAUGUUCAAUACUCAGUAUAUGAACUAUCGAGUACGAUUUACAAAAAGGCGAGAUGCGUCGUGGACAUCACGUUACAGAAACAUCAGUGUCCAUACAAAAACCGACGGGAUCAACAAAAGAAUCUGCAGGGCGCAUUGUCCCAGGAUCAUUUAUCAAGAACGCUCCGCUGCCAUCGCUCGAAAGCAGAGCUGAUCAAUGUUUGGCGGACGAGGAUAUGACAGCCAAGUGCAAGAACAUACUGCGUCGACGUGAAAUGAGUAAAGGCAAGGGAACGAUUAUAGAAUUCCAUGUGGAAGCCACGUGGAGGAUGACCUGACACCAUUGAUAGUAACAAGAUCACUAGUUCCCGUUACUAUCAAUCCCCGCCUCCUUAAGUUUCUUCAUAUUGAUAUGGUAUGUUUAUUAUUAAAUCAACUAAGCCACUUUAUUUUAAGACAUUUGAUUCAGAUCCAGGAUAACA